GGUUCAAACAGCAACUCUUUAUUCCCGAACUCUCACCGGCAUCUACCCACACCUCCGGGAAUACACUCCCUCCAAAUUCUCCCGGAACCCCCAGGAGAACUCAACAGGAACUCCAAAGUAGCAUCCGCCCUAAUCCCAGAGCCGCCUUGAUCCUGGAGCUGCCUUAUUCCGGAGCAGGGUCACCUUUCAACCAUUCCCUCUAGCAAAAUGCCAGGUGUCAUUCUGACUAAACUGUGGCUCUCAACAUCUCCCCCCUUCUGUUUAAUUAAACAACAAGCAUGUGGCUUAGGGUUAAAAAACCUGUCUUAGGUUGUCUAAUACUACAUAUGGUCCUUACCCGUCAUCAGAUGAGCUGACCUCAAGGCGUCAGCCUCCUGUCUUAGGUUGGUACCAUUGUAAUUGGAUCUUAUCCGUCAUUGGCUACCGGUCCAGCAUACAGCCAUACUUGUGGAUAGGCCUUUGUAACAGUGCGGGGGUGAGGUUCUUUGCCUCACUUCUAUUGGCCCCCAAAUUUGGCCUUUGCACCAGUUGGGGGGUGAGGUUCUUUGCCUCACCUCUGUUGGCCCCCAAAUUUUAGACCAUCACAAGCAGAAGGGAGGAGGAUGCAAAAUGCCACGGCACCAAGCCAAAUGACGGCUCUUUUUGGAAAAAUUGUACCACCGAUGACACCAUCAGCAAAGAUACCCCAGCACUACCAUAAUUCGCUGCACCAACAGAUAGUUCACAAUGCAUGCAAGUGAUACAUAGUCCAGGCAAGUUCUGCAAACAGUUCAAAGCAGAGGAAUCUAUUAAUAUGUCCAUUUCCUCCCAAAGUAAAUCGACUCCUUGAUUGAGCAUCACUUGCUGAGUUAUUAUUUAUUGAUGCAUCAGUUUAUACAGUUUGUUGUGAUAGCUAUCGCAGAAGCUGUAGUUUGGUUUUAUCUUUGUCUUCACCGGCACUGGGAUGAAGAUAGGAAUUCUGGCAAUAAUGGCUAAGAAAAAUUAUGUAACAUAUUCCAACAGGUACUAAGAAAACAAUUUUCUGAACAAUUUACAUUAUCCUGAAGAGAAUUAUUAAAUAUAAUGAAAAGGAAAGGUGAAAGUAAAUAGAUCUGUUAACCUCCUUUUUUGUUCACAUAUUAAAACAAUCCUCAAUAGCUGUUUACCCAAUUUAAAUUAAACCAUUUAAAUCACGUGAAUAAAAAAAAUAUUUGGAUCCAUAUUUUUAUGAGUGCUCCUCAUAUAUGAUAUAUGGACAUACGCACAUACAGAUAUACAACACAAAACAGAAGUGUGCACACAUAACAUAAUACAUACAACACAUAACAUAAUAGUAAAGGCCUUGUAGCUUUUCACAGGUGAAAUCUCCAUUGCAAUGUUUAAAAACUCCACAGUCAAAAAAUAGAACUGAUUAGAAAAACAUUAACCUAGGUCUGUAUGAGCUCAAAAAUAAAAUGAAACUUUAUGAUGUGGGAAAAGGCAAUAAUAAAAUAGAUAUUGAAAAAAAGCAUCUUGGUUACCACCUAGGUUUGACUCUUUUUUUGAUAUGUCAUUCACUUACCUCCAAGCUUCAGGCGUUCCCCGUAUGGGCCACCAAAUGCCGCAGUCUGGCUGGGCACAAAUAACCGAGCUGCCACAAAGCCUUGUAGGUUCAAACAGCAACUCUUUAUUCCGGAACUCUCACCGGCACUCUACCCACACUUCCCGGGAAUACACUCCCUCCACCAAUUCUCCCGGAACCCCUUGGAGAACUCAGUGGGAGAACUCAGUGGGAGCUCCAAAGUAGCAGGUGCCCUGAGGCAGCAGGAUCUGCCCUAAUCCCAGAGCCGCCCUAUUCCCAGCAGGAUCUGCCCUAAUCCCUGGAGCCACCCUAGUCCCUGAGCAGGGUCACCUUUCAACCAUUCCCUCUAACAAAAUGCCAGGCGUCAUUCCAACUAAACUGUGGCUCUCAACAUUUAUUUAUUUUUCCAACCUUUUUUUUUUUUGGUAUUGAGGAUUAAACCCAGGAUUACUAGUAAUAAAAACUCUUCAAAUCCUCCAAAGGAUCCGGUUUUAUUCAAUGAUACUCUGAAGGAUAUGGAAAAUGACAACCCCCCUAAGAGAGUGUGACCUGGGAGGCAGGCGGGAGGAAGAAGGCAAAACUAAUAUUUCCCAAUAAAUCCUCUCCCAGUGAUAAGACAAUCCCUGGGAAGGAGGUGAACAUCAAUCCUAAAAUGGCAGUCCAUAAGAAGAGGACAAAUAUUGACUCUUUUACAAUAUAUUCUUUCCCAGUGAUAAUGAAGCCACACAUUAAUCCUAUCCCAGUGAAAAUACAAUGAGCGUUGGAGGACAAGAUAAGCACUGGGCCUGAGCUCUGGACCUUCGAUUCUUGCCCAGUAAAAACAAGUUUCACAUUUUUUUUUUUUAAUUUUAAUACUAUGUAGACACAACAUCUUUGUUUGUAUGUGGUGCUGAGGAUCGAACCCGGGCCGCACGCAUGCCAGGCAAGCGCGCUACCACUUGAGCCACAUCGCCAGCCCACAAGUUUCACAUUUUUAAACCUAUUUCCUGAAUGCCCAAACUGACACAUUCUGUUGAAGUAAUAAAGUUGCCCCUCAGUGGAACCUAUAAAAACCCAGAUCCCUUUGUAACCAGAGGCCAUUUUCUACCCAGAAAGUGAGCCCCUCUGAUGCCUGACUCUGCUGCUGAACAAAAGGCAUUGCUGAUCCAUGAAAUCUGUUCCUGUUCCAGUUAUUUGUGGUUUCAUUAUAAUGUCAAAACCAUAUUGGUUAUUUUUGCUUAUAUACUCUAAAAUUGGAAUUUAAAACACAAUCAUAAGCCAGGCAGGGUGGUGCUCGACUAUAAUCUCAGCUACUUGAGACACUGAUGCAGGUGGAUUGCAAAUGCAAGGUGAGCCUCCGCAAUUUAAUAAGACUGUUUCAAAAUAAAAAAUAAAAAGUUCUGGGGCCAGGCCAGGUGGCACAUGUCUGUAAUCCCAGCAGCCCCAGAGGCUGAGACAGGAGGAUCAAAAGUGUAUGGCCAGCCUCCUUAGCAAGGCCCUAAGCAACUUAGAGAGACCCUGUCUCAAAUAAAAAGCAGAAAGGGCUGGGGAUAUAUCUUAGUAGUUAAGUGCCCCUGGGUUCAAUCCCUAGUACCAAAAUCAACCUACCAAUCAACCAACCACAUUCAUUGGGGCUGGGGUUGUAGCCCAGUAGUAAAGCAUUCAUCUAGUAUGUGUGAGAUCCUGGGUUCAAUCCCCAGAACUGAAAAAAAUAAAAAAUAAAACAUACUCAUUGUGGCCUAAUGGGUAGAAAGGUGGCAAGGAGAAUGUUCAGAAAGAGGGUGAAGAUGGAGACAGUGGCAAGGCUCCAUGUCAUCCUUUUGGUUAUUAUUCCCAAACUGCAGCUGGGAGAAGUGGAAAUUUUUAUCUGGUUUCCCUUAGGACCUGGGUUCUGUGGUGGAGCCCAGUGGUCCUUUUUUUUUUUUUUUUUUUUUUUUUAUUUUUUUUUUUUUUUUUUUUAAUGUUUAUUUUUUAGUUGUAGUUGGACACAAAAUCUUCAUUUUAUUUAUUUAUUUUCUAUGUGGUGCUGAGGAUUGAGCCCAGGUCCCUGUACGUGGUAGAUGAGCAUUCUACCAUUGAGCCACAACCCCAACCGCCCCCCACCAGCCCAGUGAUUCUUAAUAAGAAAGAACUUCCCAUGUGCCUUGGGUGUGAGCAGUUCAGGUACUCCAAGUAGACCAAACCCACAGCAUCAUCCUCUCCUGUCUGUGCCUUCCUGAACUGAAUAAGACAUGAACAAAAAUAUGUUGGAGUCACAUAGCUGGCUCUAUUCUCUACCAGGGCUUUGCAGAAUUAGGGAUAGGGAAAGGGCUGGGAAGAUAUGGAAUUAGGCAUUGUCUGCAAACUGCAUCCCCCUUUCCAAAACACAGACCUAGACAUAGAGAGCAAGUUGAAGCUCUGAAAUAAUCUGUAGGAUACACCUAGAAGCUUUUGAAGGAAACUCAGCAACCUUUAUUUCAUGUAUCUGUCUUUAUAGAAGAAAGACCUCAGAUUUUACCAGGUUGUAGAUGGUGGCUGUGUAUGUAUAAUACACAUGAAGACAGCUCAGCUUUAUUAUCCAAAUGCUUGAAGAGCAGAGCAGAGGAUAUGAAUUCCCAAUUAUCCUAGGAAUGGCCAGUCUCUAAAAUAAGAAAAGGUAAAAGGUAGAAACAUAACAUCUGGGUGGAGGAAAAUAAUGUCACCUCAUUGUCUCCUUUCAGAUCUCAGAUGAAGCACAUCUUUUCUCUUGUUCUUUGUGAUUCCCUGUCUUCCUUAUGCAGACUGGAAGAGAGAGAAGGCUGAGGUUUAUUGGUGGGAGAAGAAACAAUCCCAUGUCUCACUGCAGGAUGUAAAGAACUAAGGAAAAGGGCCAAUGUAACACUUUAAAUUGCCUGGUGUGAUGCACAAGAUACUUUCUGGGUUUUUUUGAUAUAUCUCUGAGUACACAAAUAUUUAUGAAAAGGCCCCACAAGGUCACUGCUGUUCAGUUGUAUGCUUGGGCAGCUGGGAAAAAUAGAGCAGGGGAGUUCAAUUUGAGUUUUAUAAUAAUCAGUCUUUUUUUUUCCCCCAUUUGUUACAGGGGAUUGAGCCCAGGGGCACUUAAUCACUGAGCAACAUUCCCAGCCCUUUUUAUAUUUUAUUUUAAGACAGGGUCUUGCUAAGUUGCUUAGGGCCUUGCUAAGCUACUGAGGCUGGCUUUGAAUGUGAAUCCUCCUGUCUUAGCUUCCCAAGCCACUGGGAUUAUAGGCAUAUGCCACCAUGUCCAGCUAAUAAUCAGUUUUGAAGCCAAAGUUGCUCAAAACAGGAAUAGUUCUCUCAAGUGUUUGAAAUUACCAUUAACUAUUCUGAUUGGGGUAAGGUGAUAAAAAUGACAAAAAUGUGGGAGAGAUGGGAAUAACUAUCUUUGGUAGCAAUUUUGGCUCAAAGUCCCUAAUACACACUAAUCAAAAGAGUUCAUUUUGGGGCUGGCAAUAUGAUUCAGUGGUAGAGUACCUGCCUGGCAUGUGUGAGGCCCUGAGUUUGAUCCCUAGCACCAUUGAGAGAGAGAGAGCGAGAGAGCGAGAGAGCGAGAGAGAGAGAGAAAUAUUUCUUAGGCUUCUCUGCUAACAAAGAAUCUUGCUUUGACAAACAAGUUUGAUAAGCCUCUCUUCUUUGUAUGGAGGGCCUAGGACAGGUGUUGGAAUGGAGUUAAGAAAUGAUCUAUAAUCCCAUGAUUUUUAACAGAAGAAACUAAGCCCAGAGUCAUUUAUGUGUUUGACAACAGAAGUAGCACCAUUAGAAUCUUCCAGUGGUUCUCUUCUCUGGAGUAGAAAGUUUAAUCUCACUGCAACUAGAAGGUUUGGGCCACCUUACUUGCCUUCUUUCUUAGGUUAUAAGGUGAACAGUUUUUAGAUCUUCAUCUUGGUGACUUAAAUCCUUGAACUGGAAACAAGGACUUAUGCAUAAGAGAAGAACUAAUCCUCUUACUGCCAUNUCCCUUUGUAACCAGAGGCCAUUUUCUACCCAGAAAGUGAGCCCCUCUGAUGCCUGACUCUGCUGCUGAACAAAAGGCAUUGCUGAUCCAUGAAAUCUGUUCCUGUUCCAGUUAUUUGUGGUUUCAUUAUAAUGUCAAAACCAUAUUGGUUAUUUUUGCUUAUAUACUCUAAAAUUGGAAUUUAAAACACAAUCAUAAGCCAGGCAGGGUGGUGCUCGACUAUAAUCUCAGCUACUUGAGACACUGAUGCAGGUGGAUUGCAAAUGCAAGGUGAGCCUCCGCAAUUUAAUAAGACUGUUUCAAAAUAAAAAAUAAAAAGUUCUGGGGCCAGGCCAGGUGGCACAUGUCUGUAAUCCCAGCAGCCC
rnacentral:lncRNA from 1 species